ACUUGUUCUUUAAAUGAGGACUAGUAUGAAUGGCACCACGAAGGUUACACUGUCUCCUUUUUCUAAUCAGUAAAACUAAUCUUCCCGUGAAGAAGCGGGGAUCCUUAUAUAAGACGAGAAGACCCUAUGGAGCUUUAAACGAAAUAACAUCUACCAACUCACCUAAUAAUUUCAGAAAAUUAACACUAAACUUGGUAUAAUGGUUACUAGUUUUAGGUUGGGGUGACCGCGGAGCAAAAACCAACCUCCGCAUUGAAUGGACUUACAAUCCUUAACAAAAAGCCACAACUUUAUGUAUCAACACAUUGACAUCCAUUGACCCAUUAAUUUGAUCAACGAACCAAGUUACCCUAGGGAUAACAGCGCAAUCCAUUUCAAGAGCUCCUAUCGACAAAUGG
rnacentral:rRNA from 1 species